GGACUACCCGGGUAUCUAAUCCUGUUUGCUCCCCUAGCUUUCGUGCCUCAGUGUCAGAAGUUGUCCAGAGACUCGCCUUCGCCACUGGUGUUCCACUUGAUAUCUACGCAUUUCACUGCUACACCAAGUAUUCCAGUCUCCCCUCCAACUCUCGAGCGAGAUAGUAUUCAAUGCAGUUUCCGGGUUAAGCCCGGAGAUUUCACAUCAAACUUACCUUGCCACCUACGCACCCUUUACGCCCAGUGAAUCCGAACAACGCUUGGGACCUCUGUAUUACCGCGGCGGCUGGCAC
rnacentral:rRNA from 2 species